rnacentral:rRNA from 1 species
GAUGAACGCUGGCGGCGUGCCUAAUACAUGCAAGUCGAGCGAACAGACGAGGAGCUUGCUCCUUUGGCGUUAGCGGCGGACGGGUGAGUAACACGUAGGUAACCUACCUAUAAGACUGGGAUAACUUCGGGAAACCGGAGCUAAUACCGGAUAAUAUUUCGAACCGCAUGGUUCGAUAGUGAAAGAUGGCUUUGCUAUCACUUAUAGAUGGACCUGCGCCGUAUUAGCUAGUUGGUAAGGUAACGGCUUACCAAGGCAACGAUACGUAUCCGACCUGAUAGGGUGAACGGCCAAACUGGAAAUGGAACACGGUCCAGAAUCCUACGGGAGGCAGCAGUAGGGAAUCUUCCGCAAUGGGCGAAAGCCUGACGGAGCAACGCCGCGUGAGUGAUGAAGGUCUUCGGAUCGUAAAACUCUGUUAUUAGGGAAGAACAAACGUGUAAGUAACUGUGCACGUCUUGACGGUACCUAAUCAGAAAGCCACGGCUAACUACGUG